AUGCUGCAAACUGACUUGGAGAGGAUGAUUAUGCUCAGGAGAAAAGUCUGGUUUCUUGUGGCCUCGGAGGCAGCUGGAAUAGAAAAUUGGAAGGUCAGCGAUGUGAGUGGAAAACAUCCAGGGUACCAUCUGGAUGGCAGGCUGUCUAGGAGCCCCAUGUCACAGAAGGAAGAUGAAGGUAAUGCUGAGAUAAAAGUCCACUUCCCCACCGGCCAACACAAGGAGACCUCGAGGAACAGAUGUCCCAGAGUCAUCCAGGUGAGUGGCUCCUCCUGCUGGCUGCUGGUGGGAAGUGAGCAGUGGCCACUUUGUUUUAAGGUGUACAAGAAUCAUAUUCUCCUUGCCUUCCACUACACUGAAGGGAGUAUACCUCUAGUUUCCCAGAUGCCACCCAACCAACCAACAGGCCUACACUUCGCUUCAGCAGGUGUGAUGUAUCGAGUUCCUUCCAGCCAUAAUCCCCUCAUCUACAUGGGAAAUAUUCCCAAGCAACAGGAAGGAAGUAUGCCAAUGGGAAAGCGGAGGAUUUUCCCCACCUACAUGAUUUUCUGCAAUCAUUCUCCUACCAUUUAUUUACUGUAUUCAUAUCCUGCCUUGCCUCCAAUGAGUUCAAAGUGUCAUAAAUUACUCUCUUCCUCCCCAUUUUAAGUUCAGUAUUCAGUCCUAUGAGGUAGGUCAGACAGAGUGACUUCUCCAAAAUCAUCCAGUGAGUGUCAUGACUGACGGCAAAUUUGAACUCUGGACUUCUGCAUUCUGUACCACAGGGACACUUUUUAAGGUGACUAUAAUAUUUGUACAGUACAUGAAUAUCACCUCUUAUCAAUGAAUAGCAUGAUUGAACUUUAACAUUGUGCAUGUCCUUCAUUCAUGGAAUUAAUUCCAGCAAAUCAGGUUUUGGCCCCCUCAAUGAAUUCCGUGAGGGAGGGUAGCCGGACACAAACAACCGACACAGGGUCCCUUAAGAACAUUUCAUAACUAUCUCUUCCCUCUUUCAACCUAGUUCAGUCCAGUGCUUCGUUGACUAUUUGUGCUACACCUACUCUUCUUGAGUGUGAUAUAUGGAUUAUGGCCCUUUUGCGAAUGUACAGUUGAACUUAUUUCUAAAUAUACAUUUAAACCUCCAAUAGAAAGCAACGGAACUUAACAUUUAUCUUCUCUGCAGGUACCUGACAGGCUUCCAUUUCAAAAACUUAGCAGAUCUGAACUGUUUUCUUUUAUGAGGGCCAUGAUGCAGGUAAAUACUUUGCCAACAACUUAUAAGAAAAAUAAUGUCUCUCCCCACUUACACAAUAAAGUUGGUGUGAAAUUAAGAAUUGUAGUUUGG
rnacentral:lncRNA from 1 species